CAGCCAUUUAAAAGUUUACAGUUUGGAAAAAUCAGGUCACAUACAAGUCUUAAAACACUUCGUGAACAACACACAACCAUCAGUUUAGGUAUUGCUAGUUACAUGUAACUUCUACUUGAGACUGUUCUCCAUCAGAGCAAGGGUAGUACCCAGCCUGCUGAUUGUUGCACUUUAAAGCUGUGGUUUACAAAAACCCAAAGCAACAAUAACUCUCACUUUGAGUAUAUUAUCACACGUAAGUUUUGACAAGUACUACAAAAAGGUAUGCUCUAAAUUUCAGCUCCACUUCCUUAUCUUUUUAAAUUCUGUUUUAAGUGAGUGUCUUAGAAAUAGAACAUGAAUUAUUAGCCAGGAGUUGAUGAGUUACAGGAAAAAAAAUUAAGUGAUAAGAAAUAUCAAUUUUGAUUGCAGUGUAGAAAACAAAGCUGGCAUGUCUUUAAAACAUUUAAAAAUGAAAAAAAAAUGUUUAAAACCAAAGUUAAAACUUCUCUAGAAGCUGAAAAAAUAUUCAAUUUGUUCUUUUGAAUUUUGGUAUGCAGAUCUGUGCUCUAUUUUUUUUUUUUGCUCCAAAAGAUGAGUUACCCACAUUUUCCCACUAGCAGAUGAAACAGCAAACUGCAAAAUCGACUAUUUUAACUUUCAAUAAUUUAGGAAAAGAUAAAGCAUAUGGCAGUAUAAAACACAAGUAUAAAAUGAACUCUUUCGGGAGUGGGUAAUAUAUGGAAGACUUCGGGUCUAAAGUUCACAUGGAAGACUUAGAAGUUAAUAAUGGUGCAAAGAGAUAUUAAUGGCUUUCUUUCCAACUUUCCUGCUAGAUGAUGUUACCAGGUGAGAUUUAUUGCUGGUAUUUUACGCCCCAGAUUUAUUUUUCAAUAAGCUGAUACCUAUAAUCACACACAUACGUAAGGUGAUGUAGAUUGUUAAAAAAAAAAAAAAAAAGAAUCCUUCUUGAACUAAGUGACAUUCAUGACCAGUAGGCAAAAAUACUUACUGAGUAAUUUAAACUAAAAGCAGGGUAUAUUUUUAGGAGGUAGAAAACAAGUACCAAAAAGUUAUCAUUUUGAAAUUCAUCCCCCCACUUUCAGCUUCAAACUUAGAUUUUACAUUUCUCAUUCCCCAUUCUCCCACUAAAGCUAUGAAUUCUACUACCAUUCAUUGUCUAAAUGUAUAGACCUACAGCUGCCAAGAGAAUCUGUUUUAAGUUUUGCCGCUAAGCCACCAAAUGUACCUGAUACUCAGGCAUCAACUAAGAACAUUCUGCAUCACUCUAUUUGGUUAAUUCACUUCAUAACAAAAUGUGCCAGUGUAAAAAAAAAACUUGAUAAAAGAUUAGUGAACAACUUUACCAUGCAAUUCUAAUACAUUAGGGUAGUUGUACAAACCUAAAUUUGUGUUUUCACUGUCCUGAUUUGGAAAAGUUAUAUAUUAAAACUGUUAUCACUAGUGUUAACUGGAAAUAGGCAAGUAUUUUGUUACAAAAAAUUAUCUAAUAACCAAAAUGAACUGCAUUUCUUCUCAGAGUUACAUUGUGCUGAUAUUCUAGACAGCAUUAUAAUAAAGAAUUCCAUUUUUGCAAAAGGCUGGGUUCACAGUGAAUAUGUUAGUACCGAGAUCACGUGCUUAAUAGUAAAGAAUGGCAUUACUCAACGUAUCUAAGGCAUGUAAAAAUAGCAUUAAAGCUCUUAAGGGCAAUGAUUUAAACUUGCUAUCUGCUAGAAAAAGGUGUU